rnacentral:rRNA from 1 species
UACGUAGGGUGCAAGCGUUAAUCGGAAUUACUGGGCGUAAAGCGUGCGCAGGCGGUUUUGUAAGACUGUCGUGAAAUCCCCGGGCUUAACCUGGGAAUGGCGAUGGUGACUGCAAGGCUAGAGUUUGGCAGAGGGGGGUAGAAUUCCACGUGUAGCAGUGAAAUGCGUAGAGGUGUGGAGGAACACCGAUGGCGAAGGCAGCCCCCUGGGUCAAAACUGACGCCCAUGCACGAAAGCGUGGGGAGCAAACAGG